UACAGAGGUCCCGAGCGUUGUUCGGAUUUAUUGGGCGUAAAGGGUGCGUAGGUGGCUUAGUAAGUUGGAUGUGAAAUCCUGGGGCUCAACCUCAGAAUUGCAUUCAAUACUGCUUAGCUAGAGAGCUGUAGAGGAGACUGGAAUUUACGGUGUAGCAGUGAAAUGCGUAGAUAUCGUAAGGAACGCCAGUGGCGAAAGCGAGUCUCUGGGCAGCAUCUGACACUGAGGCACGAAGGCCAGGGGAGCAAACGGG
rnacentral:rRNA from 1 species